rnacentral:rRNA from 1 species
AUGAAAGCUGCUAAUUGCUAUAUCAAAUUAGGUGACUACAAAAGAACAGGUAUGGUCUAUAUGCAAAAAUGUGGUACUUCCAGUUCUGGACUUGAGGAUGCUGAUGAUUAUUUUGCUAUCGCUGAAUGCUGGUCGGAGGCAGUGGAAGUGUUCUUCAAAGCUAAAUGUUACACCAAGUGUUUCUCCAUGUGCUCGAAAGGAAAACAAUUAUGCAAUCUGGAGGAGGAACAUUCGCUUCAGAAUUCAAAAUCCUUGAGGUUUCUGCAAUUAGAACAAAGUAUCUGGAUAACUGUGCUCAAGAUUAUUUUGAGCGUGUCGUCAUAA